AUUGAACGCUAGCGGCAUGCUUUACACAUGCAAGUCGAACGAGUGGCGGACGGGUGAGUAAUAUAUCGGAACGUGCCCAGUAGCGGGGGAUAACUCCUCGAAAGAGAGGCUAUUACCGCAUACUUUUGGCGCGGCCGGGUUCGGAUUAGCUAGUUGGUGGGGUAAAGGCUUACCAAGGCAACGAUCCGUAGCUGGUGUGAGAGGAAGACCAGCCACACUGGGACUGAGACACGGCCCAGACUCCUACGGGAGGCAGCAGUGGGGAAUUUUGGACAAUGGGGGAAACCCUGAUCGAGCCAUCCCGCGUGUAUGAGAAGGCCUUCGGGUUGUAAAGUACUUUUGGCAGAGAAGCGGUAUCUGAAGAAAAAGCACCGGCUAACUACGUGCCAGCAGCCGCGGUAAUAC
rnacentral:rRNA from 1 species